rnacentral:rRNA from 1 species
CCUACGGGAGGCAGCAGUGGGGAAUAUUGGACAAUGGGCGAAAGCCUGAUCCAGCCAUGCCGCGUGUGUGAAGAAGGCCUUCGGGUUGUAAAGCACUUUCAGUGGGGAAGAAAGCCUUGGGGCUAAUACCCUCGAGGAAGGACAUCACCCACAGAAGAAGCACCGGCUAACUCCGUGCCAGCAGCCGCGGUAAUACGGAGGGUGCGAGCGUUAAUCGGAAUUACUGGGCGUAAAGCGCGCGUAGGCGGUCUGAUAAGCCGGUUGUGAAAGCCCCGGGCUCAACCUGGGAACGGCAUCCGGAACUGUCAGGCUAGAGUGCAGGAGAGGAAGGUAGAAUUCCCGGUGUAGCGGUGAAAUGCGUAGAGAUCGGGAGGAAUACCAGUGGCGAAGGCGGCCUUCUGGACUGACACUGACGCUGAGGUGCGAAAGCGUGGGUAGCAAACAGGAUUAGAUACCCCGGUAGUC